UAUAGUGAGCUGGUGAUGAUGAUGAUACUUAUAGUCCUCAAAUGUAAAAGUUUGGAUUGAUAUUUGUUACUAUAUCCAAAACAUGUAAAUAGACCUCUAUAAGUCACAAAUAGAACAUAAUCUGAAAAACACACUUGAGUUUGUUACACAAGCCUCAAGCAAAAGCUUUUUUUUUAAGGAUGGUGGAACACCUGAUAUGAGACCAGAUGAAGUAUUAGACAAAGUAUAUUCUAUGUUGAAUAGUCCAAUAAAUGAUUAUAAAGAUAAAUUUGGAGGUGAUUCACAAUUAAUUAAUGAUGAUGCCUCAAAUUGUUCAAAUCCUGAUUUCUUUUUAAAAAAUCAUGCAAUCUUACCUUUGCAAGAUAUAGAAAUAAUUAGUAUUAUACCGGAGGAUGUUGAAAGUGGGAACAAACAUACCAAUAGUCCACAAACUGAAGGUAUUCAACGGAAAUAUAGAGUAAACGAGAGCAGAGUUGCAAGAGAUAAAGCUAUACAAAAUUAUUACGAAAC